rnacentral:tRNA from 1 species
GACAACUGGCCUCAGUUGGUUUGAGCACUGCACCGGUAUCGCAGGGUCGCAGGUUCGAUUCCUGCCAGAGGGCC